CGUUCAUUGACGUCACAACGAUAGCUUCAAGGCCAACGAUAGUGUUCAGUAUCAGGCCCCAGCUCGGACAUCGUCUGGGUUAACAUGAUCUGCAUCUGUGAGUUAGUCAGAGGUUCACAUUCGGAAAGUUUACUACAGUCUCCCUUGGCCACGGGUGGCAAAAGCAGCACCAACCAAAGUCUGGCUACCGCAAUACACAUACCCACAGUAGGGAACGGAUCACCACAUCAGAGCCCAACCAGCCAAAGUGUUUCCCAGACAUCUCCGUCAGAGACCAUCAAGGCUGGAAAACCACACCAAUGCAUGAAAUGGAC
rnacentral:lncRNA from 1 species